rnacentral:lncRNA from 13 species
GCCAAAUAGAACCUAAAUGUUAUCAAAAUACUAAUUUAAAUCUCGCCACUGCCUGGACUUCCGUUUCUUCCCCUCCCCCAAUGUUGGUGCAGAGACUGAACAUGGAAAAGGGUAGAAAUUUAAGAAAGGGUCUGCGGAGUUUCAGAGCCAAGGAAAUAAUGAGACGAUUUCCCAAAAAGUGUAAGUGAAGAUUAGACCCAGGAAAAGAUGCUGCCCCUUCCUGGAAUUACAGAAACACAAAUUCGAACACCAGAAAGACAGGGCCACUUCUGGUUUCUGGUAUUGUUACAGAGGAAAAAAGUGACAGGGCCCCACUGUGGGGGUUGAAGGGGAGACACAGGGCAGGCUGGCGCCUGCCGCACUGCUUGUGGGAGUGGAAAUUGGGGGCCAGAGCGCACUAGUGACGUGGCCGUCACGUGACCAAGAGCCGCCUAGAGCUCAAGUCCUGCUAGUCGUCUCCGUCUGGGUACCAGCCCCCUAUUACUCUGCAGGCGUGUGGAGAAAGAAGGAAACUAGCUCGGACUGUGCAGGUUUGUAGGUCUGCUGGCCUGCAAGGCUCGGCGCAAGUCUCGGCGAGAGAAGGAGAAAACUGCCUUGGUUGGAACCUUUCAGUUCAGUGUGAAGGUAGGAUUAGCCCAGAACCACGGGUAGGGGUAGCGGAGCAGGGGGGCUGGGAUCUGAGAGGGCCGGGUCCGAGUCGCCCUCUCCUGGCCCCUUCUUUCUCCACACCCCCUCCCAUUUCAUUACAGGGAAAGGGGUGUGGCGGCCUUUGCUGGGGAAAUGGCGGACGACAAGGGGGGUGGGGGAGGCCCGCGUCAGGAAAGUCAGUAGAGUAUGAGAAAUCUUUUAAACUCAAGUGCCUAAAAUUCACAAAAGCAGAAAUUGGGACCUGUGUCCUCAGUCCAUCCACUACACUUUCAUAUCUCCGUUGCCAUCUACCUGUCUUUGCAUUUGUCCUUCUGCCAGACUCUGUCUAUCACUGUGGAAGGACCACUGACAACAGAAGACAAGGGAAAACGAAGGAAUUUACCAGACUUUGGUAGAGGUUAGUGAGAGAAACUGCCCUUAACCUUUGGGAAUGGAGGUCCUGUGAAGGAGACUAACUGAGAGUUACUCACCCUGUUACUGUCCUAGCUGACCAAUCUCCUGCUCUUCCCUAUGGGUCCAGGAAGAGAAAUGUGGGAUCCUGAGGGUCGUUAGAGGACGACAGAAAAGAACAAAGAAACUGUUUCCUGUUAAUCUGCCUUUCUCACCAACAACUCGAAAUCCGGCCUCUCUGUGAGGCACAAAACCAAACAUAGCUCGGAGCCUUAAUACUCUAUUUCACCCAUAGAUUCAUCACAAGAGAGCUGCAGGAGCCUGGAAGAAGCUGAAGACUGCUACCCUCCAUCGUUACUCAUCCUGGACCUAAGAGACCUCUUCAAUCAGGUGGAGCAAGGCCCUCUCCUGUCCUGCCCCA